AAACGAUGUGCUGGUAGACCAUACAAUCGCUGCGUCCAAUUUAUCGGACAUGCACCUGCAAUACUCCGUUCUUUUUUCGGUCGUCAGCUGAGCUGU
rnacentral:sRNA from 1 species